rnacentral:lncRNA from 1 species
AAGAAUAAACAGGCAACAAGACCAGCCAGGCAGCUCAGUGAGUCAAGGUGCCCACUGUACAAGUGUGAAGACUUUAGUUCUGGCGCCAGAACCCAAGUAAAGGUGGGAAAAGAGGAUCAACUUCACAAAGUUUCCCCCUGACCUCCACACAUGUUCUGUGUUAUGUGCACCCAUCAUAGCCACCCCCUUGAUGAUAAAUAAACAGGAAGGGCAGAUGGAUGCGAAGAAACGAGACACGCUUUGGAACCAGACUCCCUGUACAUGGAGGAGAAAGAAGAGGCAGAAACAGUUACAACACGCCAGGGGUUCAAGGGAGAGUCUCAGGUCCUGUGAGGACUCAGUUCAAAGUGAUGCAGGAAUAUUCAGACAGAAAUACUUUGUCUCACCAUGAAAACUGACUACUACAAUCCAAGCAGGAAGUCAGAAGAGGAACCGGAUUGGCAGGCGCCCGGGGCAUUAAAUAAGUGGCUCUUCUCGGUGGCUUGUGAAGGAGACACCCAAGGCAUCGCCGUGACAACUAAGUAAUUCUUAUUUUUCAAAAGCCCUGUGUUGGCUUAAGCUCCGCACACAGUCUGUCUGAAUGUGGUUUGUGGCGGGCCAGGUAAUGAAUAAGCAGGCCUGCUAGAAUGACUCCACCCUGAGAAGAAACCCAAGACGUCCAUUCAUAUAAAAGGCCAAGGAAACAACUAUAAAUAAACUCACAGGUGCUGAAGAUAUUGACUGCCAGACUGGAUUGCCUUUUUCAAGUUCAAGUUCUGUGUUCUGUGGCACACUCUCUAUUUGAAUUUGGGGC